rnacentral:rRNA from 1 species
CAGGACGAACGCUGGCGGCGUGCCUAACACAUGCAAGUCGAACGGAACUCUUUGGAACAAGGCUUCGGCCAAGGGAAUUUGAGUUAGUGGCGGACGGGUGAGUAACGCGUGAGCAACCUGCCCUUCGAGGGGGACAACAGUUGGAAACGACUGCUAAUACCGCAUGACAUACAGAGAUCGCAUGGUCAUUGUAUCAAAGAUUUAUCGCCGAAGGAUGGGCUCGCGUCUGAUUAGCUGGUUGGUGAGGUAACGGCUCACCAAGGCGACGAUCAGUAGCCGGACUGAGAGGUUGAACGGCCACAUUGGGACUGAGAUACGGCCCAGACUCCUACGGGAGGCAGCAGUGGGGAAUAUUGGGCAAUGGGGGGCAACCCUGACCCAGCAACGCCGCGUGAAGGAAGAAGGCUUUCGGGUUGUAAACUUCUUUUAUCAGGGACGAUAAUGACGGUACCUGAUGAAUAAGCCACGGCUAACUACGUGCCAGCCGCCGC